rnacentral:rRNA from 1 species
CAGCCGUAAACUAUGCUCGCUAGGUGUCAGGCAUGGCGCGACCGUGUCUGGUGCCGCAGGGAAGCCGUGAAGCGAGCCACCUGGGAAGUACGGCCGCAAGGCUGAAACUUAAAGGAAUUGGCGGGGGGAGCACAACCACGGGUGGAGCCUGCGGUUUAAUUGGACUCAACGCCGGACAACUCACCGGGGACGACAGCAAUAUGUAGGCCAGGCUGAAGACCUUGCCUGAAUCGCUGAGAGGUGGUGCAUGGCGUAGACGUGU